GGCUCAGAUUGAACGCUGGCGGCAGGCCUAACACAUGCAAGUCGAACGGUAACAGGAAACAGCUUGCUGUUUCGCUGACGAGUGGCGGACGGGUGAGUAAUGUCUGGGAAACUGCCCGAUGGAGGGGGAUAACUACUGGAAACGGUAGCUAAUACCGCAUAACGUCGCAAGACCAAAGAGGGGGACCUUCGGGCCUCUUGCCAUCGGAUGUGCCCAGAUGGGAUUAGCUAGUAGGUGGGGUAACGGCUCACCUAGGCGACGAUCCCUAGCUGGUCUGAGAGGAUGACCAGCCACACUGGAACUGAGACACGGUCCAGACUCCUACGGGAGGCAGCAGUGGGGAAUAUUGCACAAUGGGCGCAAGCCUGAUGCAGCCAUGCCGCGUGUAUGAAGAAGGCCUUCGGGUUGUAAAGUACUUUCAGCGGGGAGGAAGGGAGUAAAGUUAAUACCUUUGCUCAUUGACGUUACCCGCAGAAGAAGCACCGGCUAACUCCGUGCCAGCAGCCGCGGUAAUACGGAGGGUGCAAGCGUUAAUCGGAAUUACUGGGCGUAAAGCGCACGCAGGCGGUUUGUUAAGUCAGAUGUGAAAUCCCCGGGCUCAACCUGGGAACUGCAUCUGAUACUGGCAAGCUUGAGUCUCGUAGAGGGGGGUAGAAUUCCAGGUGUAGCGGUGAAAUGCGUAGAGAUCUGGAGGAAUACCGGUGGCGAAGGCGGCCCCCUGGACGAAGACUGACGCUCAGGUGCGAAAGCGCGGGGAGCAAACAGGAUUAGAUACCCUGGUAGUCCACGCCGUAAACGAUGUCGACUUGGGGGCUGUGCCCUUGAGGCGUGGCUUCCGGAGCUAACGCGUUAAGUCGACCGCCUGGGGAGUACGGCCGCAAGGUUAAAACUCAAAUGAAUUGACGGGGGCCCGCACAAGCGGUGGAGCAUGUGGUUUAAUUCGAUGCAACGCGAAGAACCUUACCUGGUCUUGACAUCCACGGGAGUUUUCAGAGAUGAGAAUGUGCCUUCGGGAACCGUGAGACAGGUGCUGCAUGGCUGUCGUCAGCUCGUGUUGUGAAAUGUUGGGUUAAGUCCCGCAACGAGCGCAACCCUUAUCCUUUGUUGCCAGCGGUCCGGCCGGGAACUCAAAGGAGACUGCCAGUGAUAAACUGGAGGAAGGUGGGGAUGACGUCAAGUCAUCAUGGCCCUUACGACCAGGGCUACACACGUGCUACAAUGGCGCAUACAAAGAGAAGCGACCUCGCGAGAGCAAGCGGACCUCAUAAAGUGCGUCGUAGUCCGGAUUGGAGUCUGCAACUCGACUCCAUGAAGUCGGAAUCGCUAGUAAUCGUGGAUCAGAAUGCCACGGUGAAUACGUUCCCGGGCCUUGUACACACCGCCCGUCACACCAUGGGAGUGGGUUGCAAAAGAAGUAGGUAGCUUAACCUUCGGGAGGGCGCUUACCACUUUGUGAUUCAUGACUG
rnacentral:rRNA from 1 species